UUGAACGCUGGCGGCAGGCCUAACACAUGCAAGUCGAGCGGUUGAGAGUAGCUUGCUACUUGAUGCAGCGGCGGACGGGUGAGUAACGCGUGGGAAUCUGCCCAGUAGUGGGGGACAACAGCCGGAAACGGCUGCUAAUACCGCAUACGCCCUACGGGGGAAAGGGGGGGAUCUUCGGACCUCUCGCUAUUGGAUGAGCCCGCGUCGGAUUAGCUAGUUGGUAGGGUAAAGGCCUACCAAGGCUACGAUCCGUAACUGGUCUGAGAGGAUGAUCAGUCACACUGGAACUGAGACACGGUCCAGACUCCUACGGGAGGCAGCAGUGGGGAAUAUUGGACAAUGGGGGAAACCCUGAUCCAGCCAUGCCGCGUGUGUGAAGAAGGCCUUAGGGUUGUAAAGCACUUUCAGUGGGGAGAAGGGUUUGUCACCUAAUACGUGAUGGAAUUGAUGUUACCCACAGAAGAAGCACCGGCUAACUCCGUGCCAGCAGCCGCAGUAACAC
rnacentral:rRNA from 1 species